rnacentral:ncRNA from 2 species
AAUUUAAUAGAGAUGUACCUUCAUAUAUCCUCGAUAAUAGGGUUCGAGAGUCUCUACCAGGCCACCGUAAAUGGCCUGACUAUGAAGGCAGAAUUUAUAUUA